rnacentral:rRNA from 1 species
UACGUAGGGCGCAAGCGUUGUCCGGAAUUAUUGGGCGUAAAGAGCUCGUAGGUGGCUUGUCACGUCGGGUGUGAAAGCUUGGGGCUUAACUCCAGGUCUGCAUUCGAUACGGGCUGGCUAGAGGUAGGUAGGGAGAACGGAAUUCCUGGUGUAGCGGUGAAAUGCGCAGAUAUCAGGAGGAACACCGGUGGCGAAGGCGGUUCUCUGGCCUUACCUGACGCUGAGGAGCGAAGCGUGGGAGCGAACAGG